AAAGGAAUUGACGGGGGCCCGCACAAGCAGAGGAGCAUGUGGCUUAAUUCGAUGCAACGCGAAGAACCUUACCCGGGUUUGACAUAUGACUGCAACUCCCUGGAAACAGGGAAUCCUUCGAGGGUGUCAUACAGGUGCUGCAUGGCUGUCGUCAGUUCGUGCCGUGAGGUGUUUGGUUAAGUCCAGCAACGAACGCAACCCCUGUGUCCAGUUGCCAGCGCGUAAUGGCGGGAACUCUGGACAGACUGCCCGUUCACACGGGAGGAAGGUGGGGACGACGUCAAGUCAGUAUGGCCCUUACAUCCGGGGCUGCACACGUGCUACAAUGGCCGGUACAGAAGGAAGCAAUGCCGCGAGGCGGAGCCAAUCCCCAAAACCGGCCCCAGUUCGGAUUGUGGUCUGCAACCCGACCACAUGAAGUUGGAUUUGCUAGUAACGGCGCAUCAGCUACGGCGCCGUGAAUACGUUCCCGGGCCUUGUACACACCGCCCGU
rnacentral:rRNA from 1 species